AACGCACGAGACCUGCGGACCUGCGGAGGGAUCAUUACUGAAGUGCUUAGAAGAUGUUGCUGGCUUCUUUUAGGAGGAGCAGUGUGCACUCUUCCAACCUUUUCCUACACUUCCCCUGUGCACUCUUUGUAGGGCCCCUCAUGGAAGCCUUUUAGGUAGCCUUAGAGGGUGACUCUAUGUCUUUUCCUGUUUGCUUCGCACUCAUUGAAUGUUAUGUGUCACAAAGUGAAAUAAAUAAAU
rnacentral:misc_RNA from 1 species